ensembl:lncRNA
CUAGGGACAGGAACCAUGCCUAUCUUAUGCACUCUUAACAGCAUUUAAUGUAGUAGAUUCCACAUAGCAAUGUCAGCAGGUUCUUUAAUACAUGGUUUUUCUUUUCCUCCAGGAAUGAUAAGUGUUGGCAAUUUUGGAGUCCAUGCAGGUCUACUAUUAUUGUAAAAAUAUGUCAACAGAAUCUGGAUUCUCCUUCAAGACUUAGGAUGACUGGAAGCACAAGCUACAGUGACAGAUCUGUAAACAAGGAAAAAAACAGACUCUAGAAGUGCACAGUCUGAAGCAUCUAGGGAGUGGGGAUCUCUUAAAGGUGGAUUCUGAUGACGGCCUUAUAAAAAAUCACUUAUUCACUUCUUAAAAUCCUGAAAGGGACCACACAGCCCCAGAAGGAAGAUUAAAAAAUUUACACAUCAAACAAAACUUUCCGAGGACUUCUAUGGACUCAACUCAGUGUCAGAGAAAAGAAAAAAAAAUGAAAAUGAAAAAUGAAGAAAUAUGGUUCCAAGUCUGAUUCUUCCUUGCCCAAGACACAGUUGAAAAAAACUUGUUUUAGAUGAGUCAUUCAAAUGGAAUAAUUUUCCUUUGGAUUACUAGAGUCAUUAAGGAAAAAAAAAGCAU